ACCACUGGGUCAGUGCAACCUCCACUUUCCUGAAAAGCCAGGGCAGUAGAGGGCAACCACGUGACAUGCCAGGGGACAUGACAAGUAGGGGGAGACAUUUUCCUUGAAGAGCAGUCACACUUGGCUCCGCCUGGUUUUGAAGCAGAGCCAGAAAUUUGCGCCUGGAAGCUCAGGACUGCGGACAGAGACACAGCGGCUCUCAUGUUAUUUCUUGAAUGGCCACAGGACGGCAGCAGAAGAUCAUGUUUGCACAGGAAUUGGCUGAGAGUAAUAAGUCUAUAGAUCCAUAGACGUGUACACUAUAAUCAGUAACGUACUUGAAGGACAUCAUAGAUAUAUUAUACACAUUUUAUUCUAGGGUAGUAUUUGAAAUAAACCGUAUAUGUGUAACUAGGAGUUUUUAACUAGGCACUGAUAUGUGAGUAUAUCCUAUAUAAUAAAAGGCUAAUAUGA